rnacentral:rRNA from 1 species
AGUGAACGCUGGCGGUAGGCCUAACACAUGCAAGUCGAACGGCAGCACAGUAAGAGCUUGCUCUUACGGGUGGCGAGUGGCGGACGGGUGAGGAAUACAUCGGAAUCUACUUUUUCGUGGGGGAUAACGUAGGGAAACUUACGCUAAUACCGCAUACGACCUACGGGUGAAAGCAGGGGAUCUUCGGACCUCGCGCGAUUGAAUGAGCCGAUGUCGGAUUAGCUAGUUGGCGGGGUAAAGGCCCACCAAGGCGACGAUCCGUAGCUGGUCUGAGAGGAUGAUCAGCCACAAUGGAACUGAGACACGGUCCAGACUCCUACGGGAGGCAGCAGUGGGGAAUAUUGGACAAUGGGCGCAAGCCUGAUCCAGCCAUACCGCGUGGGUGAAGAAGGCCUUCGGGUUGUAAAGCCCUUUUGUUGGGAAAGAAAAGCAGCAGGUUAAUACCCCGCUGUUCUGACGGUACCCAAAGAAUAAGCACCGGCUAACUUCGUG